rnacentral:rRNA from 1 species
UGCAAGUCGAACGAGUUCUGAUUAUUGAAAGGUGCUUGCAUCUUGAUUUAAUUUUGAACGAGUGGCGGACGGGUGAGUAACACGUGGGUAACCUGCCCUUAAGUGGGGGAUAACAUUUGGAAACAGAUGCUAAUACCGCAUAAAUCCAAGAACCGCAUGGUUCUUGGCUGAAAGAUGGCGUAAGCUAUCGCUUUUGGAUGGACCCGCGGCGUAUUAGCUAGUUGGUGAGGUAACGGCUCACCAAGGCAAUGAUACGUAGCCGAACUGAGAGGUUGAUCGGCCACAUUGGGACUGAGACACGGCCCAAACUCCUACGGGAGGCAGCAGUAGGGAAUCUUCCACAAUGGACGCAAGUCUGAUGGAGCAACGCCGCGUGAGUGAAGAAGGCUUUCGGGUCGUAAAACUCUGUUGUUGGAGAAGAAUGGUCGGCAGAGUAACUGUUGUCGGCGUGACGGUAUCCAACCAGAAAGCCACGGCUAACUACGUGCCAGCAGCCGCGGUAAUACGUAGGUGGCAAGCGUUAUCCGGAUUUAUUGGGCGUAAAGCGAGCGCAGGCGGUUUUUUAAGUCUGAUGUGAAAGCCCUCGGCUUAACCGAGGAAGUGCAUCGGAAACUGGGAAAACUUGAGUGCAGAAGAGGACAGUGGAACUCCAUGUGUAGCGGUGAAAUGCGUAGAUAUAUGGAAGAACACCAGUGGCGAAGGCGGCUGUCUGGUCUGUAACUGACGCUGAGGCUCGAAAGCAUGGGUAGCGAACAGGAUUAGAUACCCUGGUAGUCCAUGCCGUAAACGAUGAAUGCUAGGUGUUGGAGGGUUUCCGCCCUUCAGUGCCGCAGCUAACGCAUUAAGCAUUCCGCCUGGGGAGUACGACCGCAAGGUUGAAACUCAAAGGAAUUGACGGGGGCCCGCACAAGCGGUGGAGCAUGUGGUUUAAUUCGAAGCAACGCGAAGAACCUUACCAGGUCUUGACAUCUUUUGAUCACCUGAGAGAUCAGGUUUCCCCUUCGGGGGCAAAAUGACAGGUGGUGCAUGGUUGUCGUCAGCUCGUGUCGUGAGAUGUUGGGUUAAGUCCCGCAACGAGCGCAACCCUUAUGACUAGUUGCCAGCAUUUAGUUGGGCACUCUAGUAAGACUGCCGGUGACAAACCGGAGGAAGGUGGGGAUGACGUCAAAUCAUCAUGCCCCUUAUGACCUGGGCUACACACGUGCUACAAUGGAUGGUACAACGAGUUGCGAGACCGCGAGGUCAAGCUAAUCUCUUAAAGCCAUUCUCAGUUCGGACUGUAGGCUGCAACUCGCCUACACGAAGUCGGAAUCGCUAGUAAUCGCGGAUCAGCACGCCGCGGUGAAUACGUUCCCGGGCCUUGUACACACCGCCCGUCACACCAUGAGAGUUUGUAACACCCGAAGCCGGUGGCGUAACCCUUUUAGGGAGCGAGCCGUCU